rnacentral:lncRNA from 1 species
GGUUAUGGGGGAUUUGUGGGGUUAUGGGGGGUCUGUGGGGUUUUGUGGGGUUAUGGGGAAUUUGUGGGGUUUUGUGGGGUUAUGGGAUGGUGCCGGUGCCGGCGUUGUACAGCCCCACAUCACCCCAUAACCCCACAUCACCCCAUAACCCUACAAACCCUCCAAACCCUACAAAACCCCACAGACGUGUCGGUGCCGCUGCCGCCGUCCUACAGCCCGCGCUACGUGGAGGCGGCCUGGUACAGCUGGUGGGAGAAGGAGGGAUUCUUCAAACCCGAGUAUGGGGUGAGCCGCCCUACAACGGCCCCACAACGGCCCCAUAACAGCCCCACAACGGCCCUAGAGCUGCCCCACAACGGCCCUAGAGCUGCCCUACAACGGCCCUAUAGCUGCCCUACAGCAGCCCUACAGUGGCCCUAGAGCUGCCCUACAACGGCCCUAUAGCUGCCCUACAACCCCCCUAGAACCGCCCUACAACGGCCCUAUAGCUGCCCUACAACGGCCCUACAACGGCCCCAAACAGCCCCACAACGGCCCUACAACGGCCCUAGAGCUGCCCUACAACGGCUCUACAGUGGCCCUAUAACUGCCCUACAGCGGCCCUACAGUGGCCCUAUACCUGCCCUACAACGGCCCUACAAUGGCCCUAUAGCUGCCCUACAACGGCCCUACAACGGCCCUAUAGCUGCCCUACAACGGCCCUAUAGCUGCCCUAUAGCUGCCCUACAAUGGCCCUAUAGCUGCCCUACAACGGCCCUAUAGCUGCCCUACAAUGGCCCCACAACGGCCCCACAAUGGCCCUAGAGCUGCCCUACAACCCCCCUAGAACCCCCCUGCAACGGCCCUAUAGCUGCCCUACAACGGUCCUAUAGCUGCCCUACAACCCCCUACAACGGCCCUACAACGGCCCUAUAGCUGCCCUACAACCCUUCUAGAACCGCCCUACAACGGCCCUAUAGCUGCCCUGCAACAGCCCUAUGGCUGCCCUACAACCCCCUAGAAUGGCCCUACAACGGCCCUAUAGCUGCCCUACAACGGCCCCACAACAGCCCUAUAGCUGCCCUACAACGGCCCCACAACAGCCCUAUAGCUGUCCUACAACGGCCCUACAACUCCCCUAGAACCCUCCUACAACGGCCCUAUAGCUGCCCUACAACGACCCCAUAGGCACCCCACCUCACCCCAUAGG